CUCCUGGAAACGGGUGGUAAUGCCGGAUGUUCCACAUGAGCGCAUGCGAGUGUGGGAAAGGCUUUUUGCGGCAUGGGAUGGGGUCGCGUCCUAUCAGCUUGUUGGUGGGGUAACGGCCUACCAAGGCGUUGACGGGUAGCCGGCCUGAGAGGGCGACCGGCCACAUUGGGACUGAGAUACGGCCCAGACUCCUACGGGAGGCAGCAGUGGGGAAUAUUGCACAAUGGGCGCAAGCCUGAUGCAGCGACGCCGCGUGCGGGAUGGAGGCCUUCGGGUUGUAAACCGCUUUUGUCGGGGAGCAAGCCUUCGGGUGAGUGUACCCUUCGAAUAAGCACCGGCUAACUACGUGCCAGCAGCCGCGGUAAUACGUAGGGUGCAAGCGUUAUCCGGAUUUAUUGGGCGUAAAGGGCUCGUAGGCGGUUCGUCGCGUCCGGUGUGAAAGUCCAUCGCUUAACGGUGGAUCCGCGCCGGGUACGGGCGGGCUUGAGUGCGGUAGGGGAGACUGGAAUUCCCGGUGUAACGGUGGAAUGUGUAGAUAUCGGGAAGAACACC
rnacentral:rRNA from 1 species